rnacentral:misc_RNA from 1 species
ACUUUGGUUCUUUUACCCUAUAAAAUGUAAAAAGGUAUAAAAUUGUGUAAGAUAAAUUGGCUUGGAUCUAAUAUCUUCCUUCUUCUUUAAGGACCAUUUCAUUAGUUUAGACCUAAUCAUCUCUAAAAGUGAGAUUAAUUGGCUUAUCCCUUGCAUCUAAAAUGUACUUGUUAAGGCUCUCUUAACCUCUAAAAGUUAGGAAAUGUAACUAUUAUAUUCUCUAGUUUGGGAUCGAGUCACAGGACGAUUUACUACAAAAUCUUCUUCAAGGGCCGAAUCCUUCCCUUUUUAGCGAUUUCUCCCACAUGAGGAGCCUAUGUUGACAGAAUGUUAGGACUCGUUGGAGGGAGCCCUAUUACCUCAUGAAGAGCCUCAAACCUCAAUGAAAUUGUAAUUAAUCUACUUCCCUUUUAUUGAAUGAAAGUGGCCUCUUAUAUAAGAGAGCCUUAAACAACAAAAGAGAGAAUAGAAUAGAAGAUCUAAUAAUAAAAGGACUUACAAUUCUAAAAGGAAAUAACUUAAACUAAAAUAGGAAUAUUGUAAAGACAUUAUUUAGGAAUAUUAUAAAGACAUUAUUAAGGAAUAAAUUGCCAUAUCAACGUUAGAUUCCAUGAACCCCACGACGCCGAUAUUGCCUCCCUACAAAUGCAUCCAUAACAGUAACUUUUUAUGAAUCAUUCUAUUAACCUCUAAAAACUAGUAUAAAUAUUAUGUCAUCAAACGCUAGUGUUUUCACGAAGGUCAAAAUACUAAAUACAAUGGGAUCUCAGUAUAGUUUAGGGGGUUUUAAGUUAAAAAUUGAAAUUUAAGUACCACACUAUUUCCAAGCCUUAAAGCUCAUUACCAUAGGUGAAAUUUACCCUUCUAUAACUACUAGUUUGAUUGUUCUUUUGAUUUUAUGUUUCUAGAAAAUGUGCAAAUGUAUUUCUGUGAUUUUAUUCUGCUGUAUUGCUAUUCUUUUGAUGAAAAUGAGUGAUUUAUAUUGCUGAUUUGCAGCGAUUGUUGGUUGAAGGAUUUGCCCUGUAUUGUUGAGUAGAAAACCAGUGAACUGAACCUUAGUUCAAUUUGGUUUUCUCCAUAUUUUAGUUCAAUUUGGUUUUUCCUUGUUGGUUUGAUUCAAAGCCAAACUAACCGAUUACACACUCCUAACUGAGCUCCAAUUUUAUCUAAGAGGAAAAAGACUAAUAUAACUUUCUAAAUCCAAUUCCAGGGGCCAUUGCAAUUGAGACUUGAGAUGCAAAUGAAAGGGAAACUCUUGGAUUUGGAUGAACAAAAUGAAAAGAAAAGACUUAAUUAUACACACUAAAGAAAGUGAGCUUCACAAAGCAUUUGACCUUUGUGAAUCCAAUUCCAAUGAAAAGAUAGGCUUCUUUAUGUCUUAGUAACAAAUCUCCAUGCUUAAAAAUUGCAUGGUAAUAAUUGGAAAUAAAUAAAUUAAAAAUAAAAACAUGUUUAGGGAAGAGUAAUAUACCAUAGACAAGAUGCAGAGUAAAA